rnacentral:lncRNA from 1 species
CACCUUGAUUUGAACAGCUUUUCCUCCGCUGCCAAGCCAUCCUGCUUUGGAGCCAGCCAGCUAUGGACUAAAAACGGUGACAAAUUGGGCAGAGGCUCCAGACCAAUUGAUGUCACAGAUAAAAAGGGGCAGUGGCAAUGACUGGAGGUUGUCAAGAGCCUGCUUUUUCAGGCUGGUAACAUGGUCUUCUGUUUCUCCCAGAAGUGCAAAGGGUUUAACUCAGGAAGAAGCAGCACCAUGAAGUGAGCCAGACCUCAUUCACACCUUCCUGCUGUGGCUCCACUCACCCACUGCAGAGUCUACCAAUUCUUUCCUCAGACUUGGCAUAAAUUGGAGGGAAAGAUGUUUACCAGAAUGGAUGGAUGGCUGGAUAGAUGGAUAGAUGGAUAGACAAAUGGAUUAAUCUCAGGGAGUCUUGCAAUGUUCUUCCAUGUGUUUGUGGCAGAAAACACUUUGAUGUGUUUUUAGAAUGCUAUUUCUAAUACUUCAAGUUCAAAUAUCGAGGCUGAAAAAAACAAAGACAUUCUAUCUCCAAAAAGAAGGCAGUACAAUAGAGCUCAACAGCACGAGCUUUGGAGUCAUUCAGUCCUUAUUAACACCUCUGAAUUUCUGUUUCUUCAUGUAUAAAAUGAUGGUAAUAACAGUACCUUUCUCAAAGAUGGUUGCUAUUUGAAUUAACUAAAAUAACUUUUGGAUAAUAUCAGUAAUUUACUGCUUAUAAAAUAGGGAGCACUUGAGAAAUUAUAACUCUAACUCACUGAAAAGAUUUCUGUUGAGGUUAUUAUAGGCUUAGUUCUAUCAC